rnacentral:tRNA from 1 species
GGCUCAGUGGUAGAGCGCUUGCCUUGUAUGCAUGAGGCCCUGGGUUCGAUUCCUCAG